AGCAGCCGCGGUAAUUCCAGCUCCAAUAGCGUAUAUUAAAGUUGUUGCAGUUAAAAGCUCGUAGUUGAAUUUCGGGAUUGACGUAACGGUCGUGCCUUAAGGGGUAUGAACUAUUAUUGUCAAUUUCUCACCUUCUGGAAAAAUAUGAUGUCCUUAAUUGGGUGUCUUAUGGAUCCAGGACUUUUACCUUGAAAAAUUAGAGUGUUAAAGCAAGCUUAUUGCUCGAAUACAUUAGCAUGGAAUAAUAAAAUAGGACGGCUUGGUUCUAUUUUGUUUGGUUUCUAGGAUCACCGUAAUGAUUAAUAGGGAUAGUUGGGGGCACUAGUAUUCAAUUGUCAGAGGUGAAAUUCUUGGAUUUAUUGAAGACUAACUACUGCGAAAGCAUUUGCCAAGGAUGUUUUCAUUAAUCAAGAACGAAGUUAGGGGAUCGAAGACGAUCAGAUACCGUCGUAGUCUUAACCAUAAAACUAUGCCGACUAGGAAUCAGACGAUGUUAAUUUUUAAUGACUCGUUUGGCAUC
rnacentral:rRNA from 1 species